UACGAAGGGGGCUAGCGUUGCUCGGAAUCACUGGGCGUAAAGCGCACGUAGGCGGCUUUCUAAGUCAGGGGUGAAAUCCUGGAGCUCAACUCCAGAACUGCCUUUGAUACUGGAGAGCUUGAGUCCGGGAGAGGUGAGUGGAACUCCGAGUGUAGAGGUGAAAUUCGUAGAUAUUCGGAAGAACACCGGGUGGCGAAGGCGGGUCUCUGGGCCGUAACUGACGCUGAGGAGCGAAAGCGUGGGGAGCGAACAGG
rnacentral:rRNA from 1 species